UACCGCUAAAUUCAGUCUUGCUCUGACAUUGAAACGCAAUACUUAUCUCUGUACAUCAAUAAAAAUUCCAAUUGCUGUUUCCUGCUAAUAUUCUUCAAAGUAUUUUGCUUACCUGUUUUUAUUACUCAAGUAAUUUUUCAACAAUUGAUUUGAAGUUUAUAAAAGCAUUUGUUGGUAUUGAAGAUGAGUAAGCUUGCUUUCCGCUUAUUCAUCGUGGGACUAUUUGUUUUGGUGGUGAUGGCAGUGAUCGUUGAAAGCUGUCAAAAAUUGGGAUCACCGUGCCGAUGGAAUUUGGAAAAUCCCCUAAAUUGCUGCACAAACGCCAAAUGUAAGAUUAAACAAGGAUCUGAAGGGAUAUGUGUUUCAAUAGAUCUGAAAUAAUCAUUCUCUGCUGAGAAAAAAUAAAUGGUAAUUAUUUACAAGAGGGGUCAACUCCAUUUUGGGCUAUAACUAGAUAAAAAAUUAAUAUUUUCAAAUUUUUUUUUAUUCUGCUUAUUUUUACGGCGUAUUUAUAAUAAAAAAUGUCAUGAAA